rnacentral:rRNA from 1 species
CCCUACGGGGGGCAGCAGUGAGGAAUAUUGGUCAAUGGUCGGGAGACUGAACCAGCCAAGCCGCGUGAGGGAUGAAGGUACAGAGUAUCGUAAACCUCUUUUGUCAGGGAACAAAGGCGGGGACGUGUCCCCGGAUGAGUGUACCUGAAGAAAAAGCAUCGGCUAACUCCGUGCCAGCAGCCGCGGUAAUACGGAGGAUGCGAGCGUUACCCGGAUUUAUUGGGUUUAAAGGGUGCGCAGGCGGUCUGGUAAGUCAGCGGUCAAAGCCCGGGGCUCAACCCCGGCCCGCCGGUGAAACUGGCAGG